GCUUAAGCAGUUAAUCUGCGUAUGAACUCUCAGUCUUAGAGAUCACUCAAAGGAUAUUAAUCAUCCCUGAGCAUUUAAAAACAUACAUUUGUGCAAGGAAAAAAGUAGAGGUUGAGUGGCAGCGGGGUAGCUGCAGGCUCAGGUCGGCUCUUAACUGCAGGUCUUCCAAAGCUGGGCUGAAGCACCUUGGGGUGCUGUGGCUGGCCCCGGAGCUCAGUUGGAAGGCAAGACUGACAGCUGAUCUAUACGGAGGCAGGAUCCAUCCAUCACUGUCAGUGGCACGGUUUGACUGGAUGAAACCCUUCCACAAGCUGUGAGGUCUCCGAGUACGUCAUGGGAGGCACCAGACAAUGAGAAACAAUGCCUUUAGCCUGCAUCUACCUCGUCAUCUGCUCUGCAACAACUGGCAAAGCUGGGCCAUGGGGCAGCGGUGGGAGCUUUCUGAGCUGGCCUUGUUGCCUGCUUUGGGUGGCGUGGGCAGCUGUGGAAGAGCACCCUUAAUUUCAGAGUACUGUCGUGGAGAGCUCAGAGAAGCAAAGUGCCUGUGGGCACCUCUGGGACUGUCUGUUCUGCCAUCCAUCCUGUAUGCCGGCUGCUUCCCUUCCAUGGUUUUCCAAUUCCCACUGCCUGACAGUGAGUGGUUGUUGAGAAGCUGGCUUGGCUUUGGCUGUGCCCAUCACCCCUAUGCAGUGAAGAUUGGAGGGCUUUUCAGUAGUCUCAUUUAGUGCAGAAGUUGUGUUGCAUGCAGAGCAGAUGGAGCCCCACUCCUUCCAUCUUACCAGGGCGUGGAGAUGCGCAACCAGUGAUGCCUUCCUGCUGGACAGCUUGCUGCAAUGCUUAUUUCCAUCAGCAGGUCCCUUUUGGGGGGAGAAGUCAUCGCUUGUAUAGAAACGUCAGCCUUCAGCAACCUUCUUGCUUCUCUUGGGCCUUCCCAUCCCUCCCACAUUGCUUAUGUUCGCCUCCUUGGAGCUUAGGUGAAAACCAAUUAAGUGUUUUGGGAUGGAGAGAGCUGCACAUCCUAGGAGUGCUGAGCCAUCCCUCCAUGGGCGCCAGGGAGGUGUCCAGAGACCUUAGGCUGAAAUUUGCUGUGCUGGGGAGAUCUCUGCCAUUGCUUUUAGUGGGUUCUGGACCACGAUCUGGGAUUCCAAGAUGCCUUUUUUUUUUUUUUCUUUGCUCUUCUCCUCUAAGCUUGCCUUUCUGUCUUCCCUUGUUUGUGUUUGCAUCCCAUAUUGUGUUGCUUUAUUUCACAUUGUGAGUAACGUGAGCAACAUCUUUACUUUGGCCAGGGCUGUAAUGAAAUUUCAUAUGGCAGUGUGCUGAUUUUUCCUUCUGAAAAUAAAUAAAGCUCAGAGACUUUUGCUG
ensembl:lncRNA